AGCGAACGGACGAGAAGCUUGCUUCUCUGAUGUUAGCGGCGGACGGGUGAGUAACACGUGGAUAACCUACCUAUAAGACUGGGAUAACUUCGGGAAACCGGAGCUAAUACCGGAUAAUAUUUUGAACCGCAUGGUUCGAAAGUGAAAGACGGUCUUGCUGUCACUUAUAGAUGGAUCUGCGCUGCAUUAGCUAGUUGGUAAGGUAACGGCUUACCAAGGCAACGAUGCAUAGCCGACCUGAGAGGGUGAUCGGCCACACUGGAACUGAGACACGGUCCAGACUCCUACGGGAGGCAGCAGUUAGGGAAUCUUCCGCAAUGGGCGAAAGCCUGACGGAGCAACGCCGCGUGAGUGAUGAAGGUCUUCGGAUCGUAAAACUCUGUUAUUAGGGAAGAACAUAUGUGUAAGUAACUGUGCACAUCUUGACGGUACCUAAUCAGAAAGCCACGGCUGACUACGUGCCAGCAGCCGCGGUAAUACGUAGGUGGCAAGCGUUAUCCGGAAUUAUUGGGCGUAAAGCGCGCGUAGGCGGUUUUUUAAGUCUGAUGUGAAAGCCCACGGCUCAACCGUGGAGGGUCAUUGGAAACUGGAGAACUUGAGUGCAGAAGAGGAAAGUGGAAUUCCAUGUGUAGCGGUGAAAUGCGCAGAGAUAUGGAGGAACACCAGUGGCGAAGGCGACUUUCUGGUCUGUAACUGACGCUGAUGUGCGAAA
rnacentral:rRNA from 1 species